rnacentral:rRNA from 1 species
UACAGAGGGUGCGAGCGUUGUUCGGAAUCACUGGGCGUAAAGGGUGCGUAGGCGGGUCUUUAAGUCAGGGGUGAAAUCCUGGAGCUCAACUCCAGAACUGCCUUUGAUACUGAAGAUCUUGAGUUCGGGAGAGGUGAGUGGAACUGCGAGUGUAGAGGUGAAAUUCGUAGAUAUUCGCAAGAACACCAGUGGCGAAGGCGGCUCACUGGCCCGAUACUGACGCUGAGGCACGAAAGCGUGGGGAGCAAACAGG